rnacentral:siRNA from 1 species
GAAGAUCUUGCUUGCAGAGUCCGC